ACCCGUCUUGAAACACGGACCAAGGAGUCUAACAUCUACGCGAGUGUUCGGGUGGCAAACCCGUGCGCGCAGUGAAAGCGAACGGAGGUGGGAGCCCCCCCGAGGGGCGCACCAUCGACCGAUCCUGAUGUCUUCGGAUGGAUUUGAGUAGGAGCGUAGCUGUGGGGACCCGAAAGAUGGUGAACUAUGCCUGAAUAGGGCGAAGCCAGAGGAAACUCUGGUGGAGGCUCGCA
rnacentral:rRNA from 1 species